CCUACGGUGGCAAUCGCUCUGACAACUCAUUCAACAUCUAAGGGAGCACAACGUACCUUAUAAAUGGGGCACAUGCAGGCUUCUGGUGGAGAAAGGGGGCAAAACCCACUUUGUCAUGCAUGUCUCCGAGACGUCCUCCCUACUCCAGGAACUAGGAAUACCGGAUGGAUGCAUCACACCAGCGGUCUAUGGACCGAAUAACCCCGUUUGUGCCCAGAGCAGCAGCCCGAGGCCCAGUGACCAGCCACCGUGACGAACACUACUGUACCAUUUUUAGCUUAACUUGCAUGCCUGUCAUGAGUACAAAAUGUUUUUUUUUUUACAGUUCAUUUAUUUAAUGUUUUACUCUUUUGACUUUAUUUCGGUCUGGCUCUGUAAGCUGAUGUUUCAUGUGUGACAUAUAGUAUAAUAUCUACCCUUUCAGCCCACAGUACUAUAGGCUGAUGACUUUUCCCCACAAUAGUCUAGGCAUGUUUCUAGCUGAUAGUUCCUAAU